UGGGGAAUUUUGCACAAUGGGGGAAACCCUGAUGCAGCGACGCCGCGUGAUUUAGAAGGCCUUCGGGUUGUAAAAAUCUUUUCUAUGGGAAGAAAAUGACAGUACCAUAGGAAUAAGGACCGGCUAAUUACGUGCCAGCAGCCGCGGUAAUACGUAAGGUCCGAGCGUUGUCCGGAAUCAUUGGGCGUAAAGGGUACGUAGGCGGGUAAGCAAGUUAGAAGUGAAAUCCUAUAGCUCAACUAUAGUAAGCUUUUAAAACUGCUCAUCUUUAGGUAUGGAAGGGAAAGUGGAAUUCCUAGUGUAGCGGUGAAAUGCGCAGAUAUUAGGAGGAAUACCGGUGGCGAAGGCGACUUUCUGGCCAUAACCUGACGCUGAGGUACGAAAGCGUGGGUAGCAAACAGG
rnacentral:rRNA from 1 species